rnacentral:rRNA from 1 species
UGACAUCGAGCGACGAACCAAGAGAUCGGUUCUUCCUUCGGGACGCGAAGACAGGUGGUGCAUGGUUGUCGUCAGCUCGUGUCGUGAGAUGUUGGGUUAAGUCCCGCAACGAGCGCAACCCUUAUCAUUAGUUGCUACGCAAGAGCACUCUAAUGAGACUGCCGUUGAUAAAACGGAGGAAGGUGGGGAUGACGUCAAAUCAUCAUGCCCCUUAUGACCUGGGCUACACACGUACUACAAUGGUAAUCAAACAGAGGGAAGCAACUCAGCGAUGUGAAGCAAAUCCCGAAAAAUCAUCUCAGUUCAGAUUGCAGGCUGCAACUCGCCUGCAUGAAGUCGGAAUUGCUAGUAAUCGCGAUCAGCUGAGA